GACGAACGCUGGCGGCGUGCUUAACACAUGCAAGUCGAACGGAAAGGCCCUGCUUUUGUGGGGUGCUCGAGUGGCGAACGGGUGAGUAACACGUGAGUAACCUGCCCUUGACUUUGGGAUAACUUCAAGAAACUGGGGCUAAUACCGGAUAGGAGCUCCUGCUGCAUGGUGGGGGUUGGAAAGUUUCGGCGGUUGGGGAUGGACUCGCGGCUUAUCAGCUUGUUGGUGGGGUAGUGGCUUACCAAGGCUUUGACGGGUAGCCGGCCUGAGAGGGUGACCGGCCACAUUGGGACUGAGAUACGGCCCAGACUCCUACGGGAGGCAGCAGUGGGGAAUAUUGCACAAUGGGCGGAAGCCUGAUGCAUCAACGCCGCGUGCGGGAUGACCGCCCUUGGGGUUUUAAAACCGAUUCUGCCUAGGAAGAAAGUGAGGUUGCCAGGAAUGGGGAAAGAAGCCACGGGCUAACUAUGGUGCAAGCACGCCGCGGUGAUUACUAGAGGUAGAGGGGGUUUCCAGAAUUUAUGGAGACUAAAGGGCUUUGUAGGUGGUUAAUCGGGUUGGAAGAUUAAUCGUGGGGGCUAACCCCGGGGGGGGCUUUCCAUAAGGGGUUAUCUUAGGGAAGGCAGGAGUAAAAUGGAUUUCCUUGUGGAGCGUGUGAAAUGUGCAGAUUUCAGGAGGAACACCUGUGGCGAAGGGGGUUUUCUGGCCUUUUCCGAAGUUAAGAGAGCAAUAACCGUGGAGAGCGAACAGUCUUAGAGUCCAUGGUAGUUCCCCGGGUAAAACAGUGGGUACUAGGUGUGGGGUUCAUUCCACGGGUUCUGUGCCGUAGCUAACGCUUCUAAGAACCCGCCCUGGGGAGUUGGGCCGCAAGGCUAAAACUCAAAGGAAUUGGCGGGGCCCCGCACAAGCGGCGGAGCAUGCGGAUCAAUUCGAUGCAAUGCGUAGAACCUUACCUGGGUUUGACAUGGAUCGGGAGUGCUCAGAGACGGGUGUACCUCUUUCGGGGUCGGUUCACAGGUGGUGCAUGGCUGUGGUCAGCUCGUGUCGUGAGAUGUUGGGUUAAGUCCCGCAACGAGCGCAACCCUUGUUCACUGUUGCCAGCACGUUAUGGUGGGGACUCAGUGGAGACCGCCGGGGUCAACUCGCAGGAAGGAGGGGAUGACGUCAAGUCAUCAUGCCCCUUAUGUCCAGGGCUUCACGCAUGCGACAAUGGCUGGUACAGAGAGUGGCGAGCCUGUGAGGGUGAGCGAAUCUCGGAAAGCCGGUCUCAGUUCGGAUUGGGGUCUGCAACUCGACCUCAUGAAGUCGGAGUCGCUAGUAAUCGCAGAUCAGCAACGCUGCGGUGAAUACGUUCCCGGGGCU
rnacentral:rRNA from 1 species